rnacentral:antisense_RNA from 1 species
CUCAACCCCUUGGUCUCUCUGAUUCCUUAUGUAUCCCGAUACAUUUCUGGGGGCUCAUCAGGAUUGGAGAUGACAGAUUUACUGUCCCCUUUGCCUGCGAUACUAGGUCCCCGGGGCCAGGAGAGACCCGGCAUCCAAGGUGUGCCACAGCUGAGCUUCACCCGGAUAUAGACCAGCUCUCCCCACGUCCCAGCACCCUGCUUGGCAGCGCAAUGGAACCAAGGAUGGGGCUGCAGGAUGAUACCAGCACUUCAGGAACUGUGACAGAAUCUUGCUCCGCUGCCAAGGCUGGAGUGCACUGGUUCAAUCUCGGCUCACUGCAAACUCUGCCUCCCAAGUUCAAGUGAUUCUCCUGUGUCAGUUUCUUUAGGAAUACAGCACUCCAUAUCGUUACCAUAAUAAUGAAACGGAUUCCCAUGGCUACAGCAAUGAAGCAGCAGAAAAAAAAUGGAGAUGCUGUCAAAGAAAAAAGAGACAGAUCAGAAAAGAAGCAUAAAGGGUGUUUAAGAAAUAAGUAACAUAGCAGGGCGCGGUGGCUCAUGCCUGUAAUCCCUCACGCCUACAAUCCCUCACGCCUACAAUCCCUCACGCCUGUAAUCUCAGCAGUUUGGGAGGCCGAGGUGGACAGAUUGCUUGCGGUAAGGAGUUUGAGACCAGCGUAGCCAACAUGGCGAAACCCCAUCUCUACGAAAAAUUAGCCAGGCAUGGUGGUGAGUGCCUGUAGUCCCAGCUACUUCGGAGGUGGAGGCCGAAGAAUUGCUUGAGCCUGGAAGGCUGAGAUCUCAGUGAGCCGAGACUGCCACUGCACGGGUGACAGAGCGAGCCUCUGUCUCAAAGAAAGAAAGAGUAUGUACCUGGAUAUGUAUUUUUAAAAUAAUGUAAAGAUUUAAAAAUAGUUCGAAGAACCUAAUUGUAUGGCUUUUGAAGCAACUAGAAGUAUGUUCUUUACAGAUGGUGGGAGUAAUGUUAUAUUAAGUUUGUGGAAGCUAUAACACUUAAGUGUUUAUAAGCAUGUUUAUAAGCUGGUGUUUACAAGCAUGUUUUUAUUUCCGAACAAAAUUCAAAGGAAGUUUGUCUUUGUAAAAAUUCAAAUGUGCACAGUUCUUGUUCCGCUCUGAAGAUAUUGGAAAUGUAUUGCUAAUACUGGUAAUAUAUAACAAUUUUUUUUAGGAAUAGAUGACUUAUUUAAUAGUUAUGUAUCUAAAUCUGAAUAUUUUCUAUAUAAUUUGUCUAUGGAAACAAAUAUUUAUACAAUUGUUCACAUAUUGCUCUUUUCUUUCUAAUGUUAUUCCUUCUAGGUAUAAAAUAUAGACGUUCUCAAGAAGAUUAGUGUUUGCAAUAGAAAGCUGGGCCAUUUGGCCACACCUGCAAAUGAUUACUGGUUUUGCGGGAGACUGCAAUCCAUAAAAAAUUACUGGCAGAGUUUGAGAAUUUGUAUAAGAAAACAAAUUUUAUGAGAUGCAAAAUCAAUACUAUUAUACUAAUUUAAAUUUUGUAAUAGCAAAGCUAAUUCUUGUUACUUUUCAGUCUUUCAAUUCACUAAGAUAAUGAGUGUUAUGCACUGAACACAUACAAAUGUAUUGCUGUGACUGAAUGAAGAGGACAAAUUAACAAAGCAAUUCCAAGGCUCUGGAAAUUGAUCAAAGGCUAAUAAUCAUUUGUGAACUAUUUAUUCUUGGAAAAACUGCUAGAGAUUCAAGGAAGAGUGCAGCAAAUUUGUAGUAAGUUUACCUAGUGCUGCUCCCGUGCCUUCUGCCCACCCACUACACCCAGCACAGUGAGUGACAGUUGCAGUUUUUACAGCUUGGGGAAAAUCAACAGUGUGUUUUGCCACAAGGACAGACUUGAUGAGCAGUCAGAGGUUGGGGCAUAGUGUAACAGACCACUGCUUUUCAACUUCAAGUGCUGAAUUUUGCAGGAAAUGAAUGAGAAAACCCCAUUUUUUGUUGUUUUUUGUUUUUUUCAGUCUGAGGUGUAGUCUCCUCUGGGGCAAGAACAGUGCCAGCCAUAAAUAUAACAAAAUCCUAAACAUGAGAAUGCAAUAGACCUCAUGACAUUAGCCCUCUACAUAUUCUUUAAAUUUUUUUUAAAUUGACACAUUGUAAUUGUACAUAUUUAUGGGGUACAACUUGAUGUUCAAUACAUAUAUAUGUUACAUUAAAUAAUCAAAUCAGGGUACUUAGUGUAUCCAUCUACCUCAUGUAUUUAUCAUUUCUUUGUGGUGAGAACAUUCAAAAGCCUCUGUUCCAGCUAUUUUGUAAUAUGCAAUAUCUUACUGUUAACCAUCAUCACCCUACUAUGCAAUAGAACAUAACUUAUUCCUCCUGCCUAACUAUAUAACUUUGUACCCAUUGACCAAGCUCUCACCAUGUCCCCCUCUUUUUCUCUCCUCCAGUCUCUGUUGACCACUGUUCUGGUGUUUUUCUGGUGAUCGCUCUGCUUCUAUAAUAUCAGCUCUUUUUUGCUUUAUUUCUACAUGAGUGAGAUUAUGUGAUAUUUGUCUUUCUGUAUCUGCCUUAUUUCACUUAACAUGAUGCUCAGCAGGUUCAUCCAUGUUGCAUAAAUGACAGGAUUUUAUUCUUGAUUAUUGAAAAAAAUACGCAUAUGUGUAGAGGAGACCAGGGUGAUUCCAGUAAAAAGUAAAAGCCCAAGGAGACUUGAGAACUGAUUGCAAAUUUAUGAACACUUCCUUCACCACAUACACACACACACACACACACACACACACACACACACCGCUAGCACAGAGUGGAGCCUCUACUUACUUAAGGUUUUCGAAUAAACCUUUUAAAAUAAUAUAUUGGCUGACAACCAAGCUAUGCAAUUCACAAGGGCAAUCCCUAGGAAAUGGGGCU